GUCACCAGAGCGUGAGGCACGGUAACGGUAUAACGAGACAGCGGUGGCACUAUAGCGCGGUAAUUGAGCGGAUGGUAGAGCUCGGGCUGCGCCCGGUAAACUGCAUUGUUGCCCACGGAAAUCCCGGUCGAAAUCCACCUGAGCCAUCCACAACGAGGACGUCAAGUAUUUCGAAAACUCGAUUGACAGCCGAAGGAAGGAAGAGCAGCUUGUGGAUGCCAGAGUGUCCGGAUGAAUAAAAGAGACAUUCAUCUGUGCAGCAUCAAUGCAAAGAAAGACCAUAGAAGAGCAACAAAACUGAAGUCCUGCUUGAGAUCCCUGGAUGAGUACUCCAGGCUGACAGUCAGGAAGGACCAGACAAGGGAGUCAUUAACAGAGAGUGCACCCCUUCAGAUAUCAGAGGUUAUUUGCAGACAGCGAUGACGAGGGUCCUGUUAUUUCAAUGGAGGCCGACCGAGAAGUUGUAUGCUAAAUGGUACUGGGACACACAAAGGCUGGUCUGGCUAAUGUGAGAAGACCAACCAAUGCCAAGCUGGAGUGGAAUCCUUCCAGGACAUUCAAGACAUUCUUGUCUUGAGCCAUGUGGUAAACACUUGAAAGGAAUGAUAAAUGGGACUUAUUGUCUUUAAAUGUGGACCCAAACACCAAAUGGAAAGUUCACAAUUCUACUAACACAAUGCAGCAGAGAUAGAGUCCAACUGGUAUCCCCUCAUCCUGGUUCCUGUUCAUCCAUGGCAAUAUAGAAAGAAAAGGAGGAUUGAGGGAAAGUAAGUUCUCUGAACUGGUGAACAUAAUCCGUAGGUACUGUCAAGCGAACAGUUAUCACACUCUGUUAUGAGUAUUGAAGAAUAGGAUGAAAUUGCAUACUGCAUCAGGAACCAUCAUGUGAACACUGUUCAAUGUGCGAUAUACUAUAGGCAUAUGAAUAAAAGAA